rnacentral:tRNA from 1 species
UGGCUCAGUUGUAGAGUGACUGCCUGGCAUGCAUGAGACUCUGGGUUCAAACCCCAG